GCCCUGUGUAGUGUAAUGGCUAAGGCGUUGGUCUUGUAACCUAAAGGUCGCCGGUUCGAUUCUCCGUUAGGACA
rnacentral:tRNA from 1 species